GCUAGGGUGGCAGAGCCCGGUAAAUGCGGGAAGCCUAAGCCUUCCCCCUCAGAGGUUCAAGUCCUCUCCCUAGCU
rnacentral:tRNA from 1 species